rnacentral:rRNA from 1 species
AAUAGAUACCCAGGUAGUCCUAGCCGUAAACGAUGAACACUAGGCGUAGUCGGUAUCGACCCCGGCUGUGCCGUAGCUAACGCAUUAAGUGUUCCGCCUGGGGAGUACGGCCGCAAGGCUAAAACUCAAAGGAAUUGACGGGGGCCCGCACAAGCAGCGGAGCGUGUGGUUUAAUUCGUCGCAACGCGAAGAACCUUACCAGGGCUUGACAUGUGGCGGAAAACGGCGGAAACGUCGUCCUCCCGCAAGGGACCGUCAUGCAGGUGUUGCAUGGCUGCCGUCAGCUCGUGUCGUGAGAUGUUGGGUUAAGUCCCGCAACGAGCGCAACCCCCGUGGCAUGUUGUAUCUCUCAUGCCAGACUGCCGAGAGAAACUCGGAGGAAGGUGGGGAUGACGCCAAGUCAGCAUGGCCCUUACGUCCUGGGCUACACACACGCUACAAUGGCCGGUACAACGGGUUGCCAAACCGCGAGGUGGAGCUAAUCCCUUAAAGCCGGUCUCAGUUCGGAUUGCAGGCUGCAACUCGCCUGCA